GAGUUGCGAACGGGUGAGUAACGCGUAGGUAACCUGCCUGGUAGCGGGGGAUAACUAUUGGAAACGAUAGCUAAUACCGCAUAAGAACAUUUACUGCAUGGUAGAUGUUUAAAAGGUGCAAGAGCAUCACUACCAGAUGGACCUGCGUUGUAUUAGCUAGUUGGUGGGGUAACGGCUCACCAAGGCAACGAUACAUAGCCGACCUGAGAGGGUGAUCGGCCACACUGGGACUGAGACACGGCCCAGACUCCUACGGGAGGCAGCAGUAGGGAAUCUUCGGCAAUGGGGGGAACCCUGACCGAGCAACGCCGCGUGAGUGAAGAAGGUUUUCGGAUCGUAAAGCUCUGUUGUUAAGGAAGAACGUGUGUGAGAGUGGAAAGUUCACACAAUGACGGUACUUAACCAGAAAGGGACGGCUAACUACGUGCCAGCAGCCGCGGUAAUACGUAGGUCCCGAGCGUUGUCCGGAUUUAUUGGGCGUAAAGCGAGCGCAGGCGGUUAGAUAAGUCUGAAGUGAAAGGCAGUGGCUCAACCAUUGUAGGCUUUGGAAACUGUUUAACUUGAGUGCAGAAGGGGAGAGUGGAAUUCCAUGUGUAGCGGUGAAAUGCGUAGAUAUAUGGAGGAACACCGGUGGCGAAAGCGGCUCUCUGGUCUGUAACUGACGCUGAGGCUCGAAAGCGUGGGGAGCGAACAGGAUUAGAUACCCUGGUAGUCCACGCCGUAAACGAUGAGUGCUAGGUGUUAGGUCCUUUCCGGGACUUAGUGCCGCAGCUAACGCAUUAAGCACUCCGCCUGGGGAGUACGACCGCAAGGUUGAAACUCAAAGGAAUUGACGGGGGCCCGCACAAGCGGUGGAGCAUGUGGUUUAAUUCGAAGCAACGCGAAGAACCUUACCAGGUCUUGACAUCCCUCUGACCACUCUAGAGAUAGAGUUUCCCUUCGGGGCAGAGGUGACAGGUGGUGCAUGGUUGUCGUCAGCUCGUGUCGUGAGAUGUUGGGUUAAGUCCCGCAACGAGCGCAACCCUUAUUGUUAGUUGCCAUCAUUCAGUUGGGCACUCUAGCGAGACUGCCGGUAAUAAACCGGAGGAAGGUGGGGAUGACGUCAAAUCAUCAUGCCCCUUAUGACCUGGGCUACACACGUGCUACAAUGGCUGGUACAACGAGUCGCAAGCCGGUGACGGCAAGCUAAUCUCUGAAAGCCAGUCUCAGUUCGGAUUGUAGGCUGCAACUCGCCUACAUGAAGUCGGAAUC
rnacentral:rRNA from 1 species